rnacentral:lncRNA from 1 species
UUAUCGACAGGCAGGACCGCACCACACUUUCAUAAACCAAAAUAAGUUUUGUUUACACUAAUAUCUUUAUAAACAUUUAUCCUUAGUCUGAUUUAUUUUCACAUUCUCAUAUUGGUAUUUGACAUUUUGCUUUGACUCAAAUUCUCAUCUGUGCCUUUAGCAAUGAAUAUUCAUCAACCUUCUCACAUGUCUCUCAACAGCCAAUAACACUUUUUCUAUAACAUCCUAAACAAUGUAUAACAAACACAUGGAUAUUAUGAGGUAGAGAGACUAAAAAAUCUACACAAAGAGCAAAUCAUUUCCAAUCAUAAGAAGUAGAGUAUGUUUUUUCUGUUAAUCAUGUGAUACUAUAUAUUAGAAAGACAGUAGCCUAAUUUCAUCAAAUGCAGAAGUAGAAGGACAGACCAUUUUUAAGGUGCCCCAGAACAACAAAACAUAUUUAGGUUGCUGCCCCACCAAAAUAUAGUGUUAAAUUUAAAUUUUCAGUGUCAACAAAAAAAGUCAACCGUGCUCAAAAAACUAGUUCAUUACAAGGUCCUUAACAAUGGAGGGCACAUAUCAAACCAACAAACCUUUUGUUAUUUUUUUUUCUCAUAUGGACUUUAGUUAAAAUAAUGAGGGGUAAAAAUGGAAGAAAAGAUGAUAAGUCAUAAGCUAUAAGACAAUAAGCUACUUGAAAUAGCGUUUGAAAAAUAAGCUAUAAGUCAGUAAAAUAAGCUAUAAGCAAGGCCGUCCCCGAGAAUUUCGAGAUCCUGGGCUAAUAAUAAAAUUGGGCCCCUAGAACAACAUCACAUACACACGCAUCAACAACAAAUUUAAGGGAUCAGAGUUCAAACUUCAGUCAUCCAAUUUAUCCACCAUAAGGUGGAAUUUCUAGCCACUAGGUUACUGGAUAAAAAGAAAAACUAUAUUAAAACUCUAAUGAAGAAAACAAUUUAUGUAAUGUUCAAUAUGAACACUUGUAUAUUAUUAAAAUUAUUUAGAUGUAAUGUAAAUGAUUGAAACAAUUAUUUAUUGGUUGGUUGUAGUGGAAAAUAAAAUUUGUAAUGAAACAAUAUUUAUUGGUUGGUUGUGCGUCAAAAAAAUUUAUUGCUUGGUUGUAGUGGAAAAUAAAAAAUGUAGCAGGGAAGGAGAAUCAAACACACUCCAUACUGGAUAUCUAGAGCUUAACAAAGAACACAUACAACCAGGCCACCUAACAUUUCGUUGAACUUUUUCUCCACAAAAAUACUUAACCUAUACCUGAACAAAUGGACCCCAAAAAAAAUUGAGGCCCCAAAAAAAUUGAGGCCCUAGGCUAUGGCCCAUCCUGCCAUGCCUCAACUACGGCCCUGGCUAUAAGCUAUUUCUGAAAAGACUGUUAGCAAACAGGUCUUUUGGCUUAUAAGACAUAAUCCAUAACACAUAAGCUCAAAAUUUGGCAUUGCUAAACAGACCCUAAAUAUGCUUUUGGUCCCUACAAUUAUGCCUUGUUUUGAAAAAAGUCCAUGUAAAAAAAUAAAAUGAUUUUAGUCCCUGUAAUAUCUCAAAACUUUUAAAAUAGCCCCCGACCUGGAUAAUCCACAUGUUUUAAAAAUUGGCCACGUCAGCUCUAAAUCUUACUCAACGUCUGUCACGUCAUAAUCCAGGUGACAUGUCAUCAAGAAAUCCAGGUUAGGGGCUAUUUUAAAAGUUUUGAGAUAUUGCAAGGAUUAGAAUCAUUUUUUUUUAAAUGGGCUCUUUUAAAAAACAAGGCAUAAUUGCAGAGAC